AUGUUGAAAUGACUUCACCUUAUUAGUUUCGCCAUGCUUCUACAAGAUAUUGCUGGCAACCCAUUUUUUUAAGUUAUGAUGUCAAAGUUGGAUAUUGUUUAUUUGGUUUCUUUUCAUACAUUUGGCGCUUAAGUUAUAGAGAAAAACAAAGAGUGUAAUAAAAAAUGUAUUCUGCUCAUUCAUUAGUUUUCUGUUAAAUGAAAAAUAUUUAAAAAGCUGCUCAUAUCUGCAGCCCUCCACAAAGAAUCCGAAAAGCGCCAAUUGCAAAUUUUUUUUAAGAUAAUCAAAUGGGAUAACAGUUUUUAAGUGGAUUUCUUAUAAGGAAAUAUUGCUUGAAUUUACCCUGGAAAGUUUUUAUAUGCUCUCAUGUUGGUUUUCUUUUUAAAAUAAAUGUAAAAAUGACAAUUUUUUUUUAGUACAGGAUAACGUCCUUGUUGUUCAGACUGAGACCUGCAUAUCUGAUGUGUAAUGGAGCAAUCCCAAUAUACUUACUUGAGUUAUAUGUACUUGUGUUUUAUUUUAUUUACCACAUAAAAAACGAUAGUAUCAAUACCUUUGCUUACCCAUUAAUUAUACAUUUAUACAUUGUUAAUUAUAUAGUUAAAAGCUAUUUUAUGACUCUUAUAAAUUGUAUAAAUAUUUUUAUUUUUUUACAUUUAUUAAAUAGUAUUAAUCAUUAAUUGCUUCUGAAA